rnacentral:misc_RNA from 1 species
GCUACUACCGAUUGAAUGGUUUAGCGAGAUGCUCGGAUCGGGCCCAGCUCGUGCGAAAGCAUGUGCCGGGACUGAGAAGAAGCUCAAGCUUGAUCAUUUAGAGGAAGUAAAAGUCGUAACAAGGUUUUCGUAGUGAACCUGCAGAAGGAUCAAGAUAGGAAGAGAGUAGUUGAUGGAAAGAGCGUAGAGUGGGGUGGUAGGAGGAUAAUGAUAAAAUAAAUACAUGGAAAGUAGGGAUGUGAUGGUGUUAUGAUGUUGACAGGUUAGUGAAGAAA